AGAUGCUCUCCCUCAAAGGCCCUGGAGGUUCAGCAUGGAAACAGAAAGGCUGUAUGUAUCUCUCUGUGGUAGAGAAUGCAAGAAACUCUGGGCUCAGUCCCUGGAACUAGAAAAAAACAGAAACAAAAAAAUUAGAGGGGGAGAUUGCUCUCUGUGACCACCAGGGGGCAGUGUCACUCAUUCAUGCAGCCCUAGGAGGCUGCAGCUCUUCCAACCCCCACGAAUCUGAGAAUCCGUGGACAGCCCAGGAAAGAGAAGCAUCCAGCUCGGUACUCAGCAACCCACCCACACUCAUCCUCCAGCUUCUGCCCAGGGGCUCCCAGGUGAGAGCACCUAGAGUCUGUGCUCCAGAUUGGCCUACACAGUCCAGGGCUCUGCCGCCCAUCACCCUGUGCAGACAUCUGUGUCAAGGUCCAGCGGGUAAAUGUAGUGUUUAAGCACGUGAGUCCGGAAGAUCCAGGUACAGCUUUCUUCUGACGUAGGAGAGGCUCCCAGGGGAUCCAGGAGUGUCCCUUAUCACUCACCUGGGACAAUCUCCAACUCAGCAGAAUGACCAAGGCCACUCAGGCUCAACACUUGCUAAUUUUAUUAAUAAAACUGUACGUCAAGGAA
rnacentral:lncRNA from 1 species